AGCAGCCGCGGUAAUUCCAGCUCCAAUAGCGUAUAUUAAAGUUGUUGCAGUUAAAAAGCUCGUAGUUGAAUUUCGGGGUCAGUAAGUUGGUCGUGCCACUGGUAUGUACUGGCUUUACUGAUUCCUCCUUCUUGUAGAACCGUAAUGCCAUUAAGUUGGUGUUGCGGGAAAACAGGACUGUUACUUUGAAAAAAUUAGAGUGUUUAAAGCAAGCUAACGCUUGAAUACAUUAGCAUGGAAUAAUGAAAUAGGACGUUCGAUCCUAUUUUGUUGGUUUCUAGGAUUGACGUAAUGAUUAAUAGGGAUAGUUGGGGGCAUUAGUAUUCAAUUGUCAGAGGUGAAAUUCUUGGAUUAUUGGAAGACUAACUACUGCGAAAGCAUUUGCCAAGGAUGUUUUCAUUAAUCAAGAACGAAAGUUAGGGGAUCGAAGACGAUCAGAUACCGUCGUAGUCUUAACCAUAAACUAUGCCGACUAGGGAUCGGAUGAUGUUAAUUUUUUAAUGACUCGUUUGGCACCUUA
rnacentral:rRNA from 1 species